GUCGUGAAUCAUUCGGCUGUUAAGUCGCUGAAGACGGAAGCCUUAGCAGGAGAAUAUUUUAACAAAGUACUUCUACCCGUGUCUAAUCUGCGUAUGGAUAAUGGGGAAUUCUUGCUUUUCCAAACGUAAAGAGGAAUCUCAGCUGACUGAAAUAAGUGGAUUUGUACUUG